rnacentral:lncRNA from 1 species
AAAAUUCUAUAAUAAAGUACUCUGUUUUUUAUAAGAUAAUACUACAAUUGUGAAUUAGUCAAAUAGAGGAUUAGAUAAAAAUUAAGCUAAAACUAUUAUAAUUUUUAUAAAUUUGUAUUUGAUGCAAUCAUAAAUAUUUGUGAAUGACUCGUAAUUCACCAUUAUAAUAGCAUUUAACAAAUAAAUUUUAUUUUAUUUUUUGAAUAAAAAUUUUAUUUCAUCUAUAAUAACAUGAGAAGUAUGAAUUUUUUGAAAUUCUAUAAGCUUUAGUGAUCUUUUAAGGUUGCUCCCGUUUCCACAAUUACGAAAGAGGAGGGAUGCUUUGUUCGUGCCUGAAAAAGUUUUGGGAAUCAACUUUUGUCUUUAUAUGCACCAACCUGUCGAAGUUAUUCUUAAAAUAUUUAAUGCCCCAAACCCUGGCUUCUGCAUAGCUUUCUUUGUCGUUGUUAAUUUUAUUAGCCCCGAUGUCAAGAUCUCUGUAAUUGCUAUAUGCUUCUCUUGGAGAUUUUGAAACGUAAGGAGUCAUGUAAUUGUAAACUCUCCCCAUCCAACUCAUGAACUUUUUAGAGUUUUUAUUUUCCUCUUCUUCCCAGUCCACCACGUAUAAGAUGCUGUAGAGAUUUCCAGCUCUAUGAGGAUAUGGAGAUUCAGUCUCAGAAAUCUCUUCCAUUUUGCCUCCAAAAGCCACAAAUACCAUACUUGCGAAUUUUGCUUCGUCCUCAUAAAACUUAGGCCACAAUCCUUGGAAUGCUGAUUCUGGAAUAAGUUGUUUUACAAAAUCCGAUUUUGCUUUGAAGAACGUUUUCGAAAGAACUGACUUUUGGCUUCUCUCGAGUAAAGUUUCUAAUGAUACUCCAACAGGACAUUGGGUAGCGCAAAGAUUAGAUUCAGCCCAACUCAUUUCAAAGCAAUCUUCUUUCACUAUUCCAAGUUGAGGGAAUUUUUCUUCCAUCAGCGGAACAAGCUCAUCGGUGCUUCCCAGAAAUAUGCCCGUAAAACUUGCUUGAACCGUCAUCUUUUCAUUUUCACUUGAAUUCACCCUUGAAAUGAUGAUGCUCGUAUGUAUUUCUUUGGGAAGCUUGUGUGCAAUAUACUGCCACUGGUGAACAAGCUUGGUCGCAUUUUGUUCUAACGUUUUGCUCACUGUAAAAACAGUAACAUUAGCUGGAACUGGCACUAAUUUCAGCUUCCAAGCAAGGACUAUCCCAAAGCUACCCCCACCACCUCCUCGAAUGGCCCAAAACAAAUCUUCUCCCAUGGAUUUUUUAUCAAGAAUUCUCCCUUCAACAUCAAUUAAACGAGCAUCGAUUACAUUAUCUGCACCAAGACCAUAUUUUCGAAACAAUACGCCAUAGCCUCCUCCACUCAAAUGUCCACCGACACCCACGGUGUGACCGAUACCAGCCGGAAAGGCAAGAGUUCUACUUUUCCGAGCAAUUUCGUAGUACAAUUCUCCAAUAGUUGCACCAGAUUCAACCCAUACCGUAGCUUUUUCAACGUUAACCUGAACCGAUCGAAGAUUCACCAAAUCGAUCACCACAAAAGGAACUUUAUAAGCGGUAGUAUAAGAAAGACCCUCAAAGUCAUGACCCCCACUUCGAGUCCUGACUUGCAGUCCAUGUUUUCUGCAACAAUAAACUGCGGCUUGGAUGUGGGAUGCAAGCAGUGGUGUUACAAUGGCCAAAGGUGUAGGCGUAGAUGGUGUUGUGAACCUCAAAUUUUGAGCAGAUGACUUCAAAACAGAGGAGUAUGAUGAAUUAUGUUGGGUGUAAACGAGUUUGGCAAAGGAAGAAGAGUUGUGAAAACGAAUGGAAAGGCAACGAAGAAAUUCCUCAGCAGGUUGAGCUGAAGCACUAAUUCUCCAUGACAAGGAGAGGAUAAUAAUAAGAAGAAAAGGAAACAUAUUUAAUUUAAUUUCUGGGUCUAUGUUAUGUGAACAUUGAAAUGUGUUGCAAGCAAUCACGUUAUUAAUAAUGCUAAGGUUGGUGGGCAGGGUCAUCUGCCAUAUAUGAAACCAAAAUUACGUUGAAGAAUCAACAACAGGCAAGGUCAACGCCAUGGCCGCCCAUUGUUUCAGCUGUCGUAUUUGACAUAAUUGCCAUUAGCUUUGCUCCAAGAGCCGAAUUCAAAUACGAAUCUGAUCCCAAUUGACAAUGAAGAUUUCUUGGAUAGUAGCAUCAUCUAUGUGAACAUCUAUCCAUUGCUCCACAAUAAUAAUUUAUUCAUUUAACAACUAUAACAGAAAUUUUUAAUUGCUUCAAAUAUAUAAAUGAUAAAUCUUAAAAUUAUAUAUUGAUUUUGAUUCAGUGUGAAAUGUGAUAAAUAAAUUUUAAUUUUAUAUAAUUAAUCUGUUCAAACAAAAAGCUGACUUCUACAUAGCUCCCUUUACUAUUGUUAAAGUCAUCAACUCCAUUGUUUAGAGGUUGUCAGCCGACCGAAAUUUUUUGCCCUCCACUUGCAGCAUAUACAGAGCAUCUUUGACUUUUCUUUGGAAAUGCUUGUAAUAGGUCAUGUAUGUAAACCCAUUUUUGGUCUCCCUAAAUUUUCUCCACGCUUAAUGUGGUCUUUUGGAUUGUUAUAAUCUGGAAAUUUCUUGCAUUAGAUUUCCUCAUAUAAAAUUGUAACAAAUUCAUUUUCUUAUUUUUUUUCGUCUCUUUCAAGGUGUGGGUUUUAUAUUUGUCAUUAAUUUUAACCUCAAGCACCAAAUUCGAAUAAUAAUAUAUUCUCUAAAGAUAUUAUCUAAUCUAUCGCUUGAUAAAUAUAAUCAACAAUCAUUUAAUCAAUUCACUUAAUUAAUUCAAUUUUGGUUAAUUUAAUUUUUCAAUUAAAUUAAUUAUAUUCUAAUUAUGAUAAUUUUGUGUAUAUAUUAAAUUAUAGUAUAAGAAUAAUCAGUUAAAUCAAACUGAUCAAUUUAAUCAUUUUCACAUCCAACACUAAACACUGUUAUCGAGAGGGUGCUACAAAUUGCGGAAUGAAAUGUGCUUGUAACUAGGAAUUAGGGAGUCAAAUAGCUUUGUUGAUACUCUCACUAAAGAUGGUAAAACAGCUGGACGUUUGGCGUAGCUUCAUGGUUUUAGACUUCACUUAAAACAUAUAUCAGUGUUAUUAAUGCUUCAAAUAAAAAUUCUAUAAUAAAGUACUCUGUUUUUUAUAAGAUAAUACUACAAUUGUGAAUUAGUCAAAUAGAGGAUUAGAUAAAAAUUAAGCUAAAACUAUUAUAAUUUUUAUAAAUUUGUAUUUGAUGCAAUCAUAAAUAUUUGUGAAUGACUCGUAAUUCACCAUUAUAAUAGCAUUUAACAAAUAAAUUUUAUUUUAUUUUUUGAAUAAAAAUUUUAUUUCAUCUAUAAUAACAUGAGAAGUAUGAAUUUUUUGAAAUUCUAUAAGCUUUAGUGAUCUUUUAAGGUUGCUCCCGUUUCCACAAUUACGAAAGAGGAGGGAUGCUUUGUUCGUGCCUGAAAAAGUUUUGGGAAUCAACUUUUGUCUUUAUAUGCACCAACCUGUCGAAGUUAUUCUUAAAAUAUUUAAUGCCCCAAACCCUGGCUUCUGCAUAGCUUUCUUUGUCGUUGUUAAUUUUAUUAGCCCCGAUGUCAAG